rnacentral:lncRNA from 1 species
UUGCAAAAUUUUACUUUGAUCUGUUUUGUCCUACAGGCGUUAGAAGUAACUUAUGAAACUAUCUGUCUCCAUUAAGGAAGGCAUUCCAGGAGUAACAUUUCCAAAAUUCUCUCAGGAACUACACUACAAAGAAUUGAAGAAAGAAUCCUUCUCUAUAGUGGAUUUUCUGUUGAGUUCUGUAUGUCCUGAAUUUCACUCAAGAUGAACAACUUCCUUCUUAAUAUGUUUCUACUGUCCGUCCACUCUGCUCUUAGUCUAAAUAACAACAACAAAAUCCCCUCAAAUGUAUUGUAAGAACAAAUUUGAACAAUUAAUAAGAUCUAAAUAUGGAAGGGAGCAAUCUACUUUAUGCAUACAAGAAAAAAAAAUGUUGCAAAAUGCAGAAACUUGAACAACAACAAAAAAGUCCUUUUCAAAACUGUUACUGAGACUUUUUGUAACAAGUCAAAAUAUCGCUAAGCACCGAUGAAGUCCUGUACAAGUUCUUUUCAGAUGCUUCUGAAACUCCUCCAUAUAUUUUUCAGGAUAUCUGAUAAAAGAAAAGCCUAGCUGAGAGUUUUACCUCUGUAAAUCUAUAUGAAUGCUAUUGUAAGGACAGACAUUUAAGACCCGCUGGUUGCGUAUUCAGUGCUGCCAUCUUAGCUGUUUUAAUAGUAAUUCAUAGACUAACUCAUAGACUCAGGGAUGUACUUCCAGCAUUUUCUUUUUUCCUUGUAGUCAGAGUGUUAAAAACUAAUGUUUUGAAUCUUUUGUGAAGGUAGUAUUCACAUUUGGAAAUGAAACUCUUCAACAUGACAGCCUGCUGCUGUCUGGGUUGGUUGGGACUAUCCAUUGCAAAGGAGUUUGCAAUGGCAUCUUCAACUGGAUCAGCUGAGAAUCAAUGAAUUGUUGUUCUGAUGAAUUCUUAUAAUCCACUUGGUCAGUGAUCCCAUAUAAGCACUCCCACACGUGCAUGACCCAUCUGUUGCUGUUGAUUAUCUUAAACCAUGUACAACUCUGGCAAACACAUUGAGAAGGUAGAGGAAGCCAUUCUAUGUGGCCACUCCUGAACCUGCAGGACUAGUUUCUUCAAUUUAAUAGAGUCUCACCUAUGUGCAAUUUGUUCAGAUUUGCACCUGGAACUGCCUGGGUGCUUCUCUAGGAUGGCCAGAGUCUCCAUCCAGGAUAUUAAUCAAUACAUGUAAGCAUAUACAUAGCACCCACCACAGCUGGUCCAUGCACAGCAGGACCUGCACCGGGGCAUUCUCUGGAUUCUCCAAAAUUCUCCUGAAGAGUCAUGUAGUAACUAGUUCCAAAGUUUUAUGGCAAAAGUGACUAAAAGUGGAAUCCAUUAUCAUGCCUGAAGUCAAUCUACUCUCACAUGUAUGCAGAAACCUGUGGUAUUCCUUGACCAUGUGGUAAAUUGAUGAAAGUGGAACACUUUGGGGUUUACCCUGAGCAUCUUUUUGUGUAUUUUGUUAUACUUCCUCAUGAAAACCUAUGGUCCCUAUCCAUUUGCAAAAAGAAGAUAUUCAAAAGAUGUUAAACAGAAGGGACAAGCAAAAAGAUUCUUCCACACACUUGCUUCUUUGGUCUAAAAAUAGGUCAUAGUUUUAGAAACAUUAAUUGAGCUUGAUAAUAAUUUUAGUGCCUAACAACCUAGAGGAAACCAGUUUUCAUUGAAAGGAAUAUUUCCAUUGUACCUGAAUGUGAGGACUUGACAAGCUUAGAGGCAGUGAUAAGUUUUCCUAUAACUAUCAUGGAUACUGAUUUUCAAGUAUAUAGAUCAUUUCCUCCUCACCUUCUGAAAAAGAAGAUAAAGCUCUGGUAUUGUCUUGACAAUAGUUCUUUCUGUAGGGCUUUUGGCAUUAUUAAGUCUACCCUAUGAGAAAUAUUUAUAAUAUACGUGAAACAUCAACUACAUCUGAAAGUAGGGAUGGGAUAGAUGAAGAUGCAAGAUGUAACACUUAACUAUAAAGCAUUACAUAAAAAGAAAAGGUGGAUAAACAUUAAUUUGAAAACAAAACCUGCUAACAUACAUUAUAGAUAAAAUUUGUCACUGUAGUUGUGACACAAAGAAUUGUGUCACAAAAAUACAUUCAGGUGAGAAGUGUUAUCCAGCAAAUUCUGAAUAGGAGAUAGAGAACUCUCAGGUUGUUCAGUACCAUGGAAUAAUUCACUAAUGAUUGCUCCUCACCUGUAAAAUUCCAGACUGAAUUUUCAUGGCAAGCCUAAAGAGAACCUGCUCACUUUAAAAGAAGAGAACAAAAAUAGUAAGAUGGGUAAAAUAAACUGCCAGAAUUCUUCA